AUGUCGGAGGGCAUCGUGAGGAAAGUCCAGCCGUUCACCAUCGGGACCAAACUCUCGGCGCCGGCCGUGCCUAAGUGCUCAGACUUUCCCGAUGGUUUUCUUCCAAAUCGGACGUUCUCCGAUAACUGCAAACUGAGGCACCUGAACGAACAGGUGUCUCUUUAUCUCGGCCGUGACAGACACUGCGGACCUGCGGCGAAGCAUCGGCGCGAAGAGACGUCCGACGACCACCUGAACCGAAACACAGUCUCCCCACCGAACACUGCGUCCAGAUCCAUCCGUAAGAUCACCAUCUCCAGCCGAAUGGAGGCUGCGAAAGACAGACUGACUCCAGGGAUGGAGCUGAAGAAAAUAAGAGCAAACUCUGAGAAUAUUAAUAACAAUAACAACAUCCCAUCCUCCAACACGCAGCUGCCUAAAAUAGUGGGUGUCAGCUGUGAGAAUAAACCCAGCUCACAGUUCAAGGUGUUGCUGUGUAAAGAUGGUGAAAAGCAGUGCAGUGGUGACAAAGAGAAAUUCACUUCUUCUCCACAGACCCAGAUACUCAAAACCCAAGCAAGAAAGGAUGUGGUGGACAGUCUGUCCUGCGAGCACAAGGACGUGUGCUUGGUUUCAAAAGUCUCACCGGUGCAAAAUGAGCUCAGUUUUACCCAUCAAAACGCCAUCUUCAAUAAGGAGAUCACUCAGGCUGAGACGUGGAUCAGAGUGAAGCUGCGAGACCUGAGGGACGCCAGUAACGUCCAUAGAAGUCCUCUGACCGACUGGGAGGAACUUUCUCAAACCCUCCAGAGAGAUUUGAAGGACUUCGAGAACACCGUCAUUCAGCUCAACCAGGUGAGGACAAACCGUCUUCAUUAG
rnacentral:lncRNA from 12 species